AAUGAACGCUGGCGGCGUGCCUAAUACAUGCAAGUCGAACGGAGUGGCGCACGGGUGAGUAUAUAUAGCUAAUCUGCCCCUUGCUGAAGGAAAACAGUUAGAAAUGACUGCUAAUACUCCAUAGAAAGGGAUGAGACUAUAUCGGAUCAGCUAGUCGGUGGGGUAAGGGCCUACCGAGGCUAUGACGCGUAACUGGUCUGAGAUGAUGAUCAGUCACAUGGUAACUGAGACACGGUCCAAACGCCUACGGGAUGCAGCAGUAGGGGAUAUUGCGCCAUGGGGGAGACCCUGACGCAGCAACGCCGCGUGGAGGAUGACACUUUUCGGAGCGUAAACUCCUUUUGUUAGGGAAGCGGUACCUAACGAAUAAGCACCGGCUAACUCCGUGCCAGCAGCCGCGGUAAUUC
rnacentral:rRNA from 1 species